ensembl:lncRNA
AGCUGCUCAUGGUAACAAUAGUACCAUAAAAGCCUACUGAUCUACCACCAAUGUUUUGAUCAGGACUCAUUCAAAAGUAGCCUUUGCAUCAAUAAAAGGUAGGAAAAACGUUCAUAUGCAAUUGGAAGAGUUUUGCUGUGAAUUGAAUUGUUAGGGAUGCUUUUCUCUUUAGGGGUUACUGUCUCUUACAUGCUGACUCUACAGUUUUUGUUAAUAGUGAUCUUAGCUAUUAUAUCUAAAUGACAGUUUUCACCCUGUACACACAAACAGCUGCAUUAUCAAAUGUCCUGCUCUGUAGCACAGAGGAAGUUGUUAAGCAGGAUAAUAUCACAAUUUCAUCCUCUUUCUUCUGUCUGUUUUUAGGUUACCUCUGCACACAUCAGUCUCUGCCAGCCAAGAGUGCCACGCAUUAUCACUGAAAGAGGCUGUGUAUGAGGAUAUAUGGGACUAAAAGUUGUACAUAAGUGCAAGGCUAGUAAUUAUGAAAGAAGCUGCUUACUGACUUCAACAAGGAUGGCAGAAUCAGACUCAUUCCCCUAGCCUCACUUUGCAGAUCUGGUUGCAGUGAAGACCUUGGCAAACGUCCUCUAAAGAACUUUGCUG